AGCAGCCGCGGUAAUUCCAGCUCCAAUAGCGUAUAUUAAAGUUGCUGCAGUUAAAAAGCUCGUAGUUGAAUUUCGGGACCAUCAUGUCGGUCGUGCCUCGGUACGUACUGGUAUUGUUGGUUUCUCCCUUCUGACGAACCAUGAUGUCAUUUAUUUGGUGUUGUGGGGAUUCAGGACUGUUACUUUGAAAAAUUAGAGUGUUUAAAGCAGGCUCACGCUUGAAUACAUUAGCAUGGAAUAAUGAAAUAGGACGUUUGAUUCUAUUUUGUUGGUUUCUAGGAUCGACGUAAUGAUUAAUAGGGAUAGUUGGGGGCAUUAGUAUUCAAUUGUCAGAGGUGAAAUUCUUGGAUUUAUUGAAGACUAACUACUGCGAAAGCAUUUGCCAAGGAUGUUUUCAUUAAUCAAGAACGAAAGUUAGGGGAUCGAAGACGAUCAGAUACCGUCGUAGUC
rnacentral:rRNA from 1 species